AUUGAACGCUGGCGGCAGGCUUAACACAUGCAAGUCGAGCGGAGAUGAGGUGCUUGCACCUUAUCUUAGCGGCGGACGGGUGAGUAAUGCUUAGGAAUCUGCCUAUUAGUGGGGGACAACAUUCCGAAAGGAAUGCUAAUACCGCAUCCGUCCUACGGGAGAAAGCAGGGGAUCUUCGGACCUUGCGCUAAUAGCUGAGCCUAAGUCGGAUUAGCUAGUUGGUGGGGUAAAGGCCUACCAAGGCGACGAUCUGAAGCGGGUCUGAGAGGAUGAUCCGCCACACUGGGACUGAGACACGGCACAGACUCCUACGGGAGGCAGCAGUGGGGAAUAUUGGACAAUGGGGGAAACCCUGAUCCAGCCAUGCCGCGUGUGUGAAGAAGGCCUUAUGGUUGUAAAGCACUUUAAGCGAGGAGGAGGCUACUGAGACUAAUACUCUUGGAUAGUGGACGUUACUCGCAGAAUAAGCACCGGCUAACUCUGUGCCAGCCGCCGCAGUAA
rnacentral:rRNA from 1 species